CUUUUUUUAAGUUUCACUUUACAAAAGGGAACUCCCACACUUCUUCAUUCAAGAGUAAUCUGUUCGGGUUUUUCCAGGAUCAUUACCAACCAUCCCCUGACAAGUAAACGCUCCUUCAAAUCUGAAGACAGCAAAGCUACCAGGAUGUCCUGCCUUUGGAUGAGUCUGAGUCUCAUCUUUGUCCUACAGCACAGCAUCUCAUCAGAUGAAGUUGUAAAACUGCUGUGCAACCAAACAGUCGAAGUCAGACCUGGAGACUCUGCAAAAAUAAACUGCAGCAUACAAACCAAUGACUCUAGAUGUGAAGGCACUACAUUUACCUGGAGUGUCUCAGAUCAAAGUGAUUCAAACCAAGUCAACCUUUGUGAAAAUGACAACAAUUACAUAUGCAAAGGGGAUAACUGGACACAUGUGUCAACGACCAUCCAAAAAGUCAUGACAGACAAAAAUAUCACAGUAGAGAUAGGUUUCAACUGUGGCAUGGAUACUGCUAAAAUCCAAGUAAAGAUUGGACAUGAAACUGGUGCAACAGCGUCUCUUAAG